rnacentral:rRNA from 1 species
UACAAAGAGUGCUAGCGUUGUUCGGAAUUACUGAGCGUAAAGAGCGCGUAGGCGAUUUCGCAAGUCAAGGGUGAAAUCCCGGAGCUUAACUCCGGAAUUGCUUUUGAUACUGUGAGGCUAGAGUGAGUUAGAGGAUGGCGGAAUUCCUAGUGUAGUGGUGAAAUACGUAGAUAUUAGGAAGAACACCGGUGGCGAAGGCGGCCAUCUAGAACUCAACUGACGCUGAGGCGCGAAAGCGUGGGGAGCAAACAGG